AAUACCACUUUUUGUCCAUGCUACUUCCCUCGACAGCUAUGAGAACCUUAGACCAGGGCGAAGGGGCAAGGGAGCCAUCAAAAAACGGAUGUAACCAGUCUCUCUUUACUUUACACCCAAUGAUAAGGGGCUCCUCACCGCCACAGCAGAGACAAAGGUGUCCACCAGGCAGUAGUCGGCCACGUCGUGACCCUGUGAGGAGAAGUUUCCAAGCACUUGUAUGUCUACCGUAUGCUCUGUCCUCGUCUGCGUGAGGAAGUCAAACACCGAGAGCCUAUAACCAUCAUAGGACAGCUCACCCUGAAAUGAAAGACAUACCAGACUGGUUAUCCCACAAGGAGAUAGAGAAGAUACAAGCCCAGCAUCUCCACAGAGGACCGGAGCUAAGCAGGCUCUUCAGGUGACCUGAACUCAGACUGAUCAUGAUGGUUUAGUGGUUAGCUCUGAAGCCUCCCGCCUCCAGUUCUGUGGUCCAAAAUACUACCUGAGGCUCUCUGUGUGGAGGGCGUGUUGCAUGUUAUGUUAAUACAAGUUUUCCUCUUCCAGAAAAUUUUACAUAAGUGAAGCGGUGUCUGCAAGCUAACCGUAAUGUGUGAGUUCAUGGGCAGCGGUGACCUGAUAUCCCAUCCAAACCUCAUGCCCUGUGUCUCCUGUGGUAAGCAACAGUCCCAAUGUAACCACGUACUGAAUAAGCAGUUAUAGAAUAUAGAUGGACGUUUUAAGCCGAGACCCCUCUAUAUUCUGAGGGUGGUUCAAACCCAUAAUUUUACUACCUGGAUAUCUACCUGCCUACCGCUAAGUGCCAAGGGCACUCCCCCCAUAAUGACUUCACCCCCUCCCCCCAAAAAAACUGUUUUCACUGUAAACUCUGCUGGAGACUGCAGCUUAUUCAUUAACACCGAGCCGUAAAUUCUAGUGGUAAAAUGGAACUGAGCAAGAACUGGAAAUCCUGUCAUGACUCUGGCCUGACAUCAGCAGUGCUUGAUGUAUUCCCCAUUUCGAUGGCAGCUCUUGCUGGAAUCACACCAAAACUGGGUUUCUCUCCAAUACCCAGACACUGGUCACUAACUGCUGCCUGUAACCUGUUUCCCGGUUUGCACUUAUGCUACAUUAGAACGAGCCUAUUAAUGCUGGCACUUCACUCCAAGCAAUCACUCGAUCAACCAAUAAAUCACUCAUUCAAUAAAUCAACUAACCAAUCAAUCAAAGUUUUGUCACACAUACAGUGAUACUUAGUAUACUGUGCAGUGAAAUGCUAUGUUGCCAAGUUACAAAACUGAGAAACAGGGGAUGCAAGUAUAAAGAGACAAAACAUUAAAUAACAAACAUUAAGAAAUAAUAAUAAAUUUCCAUGAACAACGUGGAAUUUGCAGUACAGUGACAGGUGGUAGUCGGGGGAGGGGACUACCUUGCUCCCGUGGAUGGUGGUCUUGCGCCUGCAGACCUCCUCUGUGAAAGCCACCAUGGUGAAGGCAGCAGUGAGACCUCCAUCAAACUCCAUGUUCACAACCUGGUUAUGGGGGGAAAAAGGUUAAUGCUUCGCCGGGUGCCGUCACAGAAAACGACGGUAUUACCGGUUUCACCCAGGGCCUUCCUCACCUGGUUGGUGCAGACGUCGUUGUCGCAGCUGUAGACGCAGCGGCCGUAAGGACCCUGACGCAGAGCUUCCGUCACAGUCUCGAUGUCGGGAACUGAGCUAGGGCACAGCACCGAGACCGGCCAGCGGACGUGCCCCUGCCAGAAGACUGACGCUAUUACAUUCGCGUACCGCUUCGACUAGAGCAUAUAACCCAGCCUGGAAUGUCACACCUGCUUACAUUUAACUUUCAGCAGGAUAUGACAGCCAGUCCCCCUGAAGCAGUGUUUAAGAACAUAAGAACUAUACAAGAGGAGGCCAUUCGGCCCAUCAAGCUCGCUUGGGGAGAACUAAACUAAUAGCUCAGAGUUGUUAAAAUCUUAUCUAGCUCUGAUUUAAAGGAACCCAAGGAUUCAGCUUGCACUACAUUAUCAGGAAGGCUAUUCCAUACUCUGACUACACGCUGUGUAAAGAAGUGCUUCCUUAAACCCAGCUUGAAAUGUUCUCCCGCUAAUUUCCACCUAUGGCCACGAGUUCGUGUAUUUAAACCAGUCCAGUCCUCACGAUCCCCCAGACAGUCUACAUUUUUGCUCCCUCUCAACUCCCAACACACCUGUACCAGAUAUUCAGUGUUAUUGUAGGUGUCCAGGGAGGUAUCUGGGAAUUUGAACUGACAGUUUUCUAAUGUUCCCAACUAGGCCAGCUGUGGUCUAUUCACGCAAGCUUCAUGUUUCUACAGCUGCAAUCUUCAAAUCAUGAUCACGUGCGUUUCCACAUUACCUCGUUCAUCCUAAAACCUAAAACCGAAAAAAAUCUACGAAUGCGAAUAUCUAUACACUCAGAUACCCAGUUUUCAGGAUCAGCUGAUCCUCACCACAACCGUGUAUCGUAUAGGCAGCUGGAAGAUGGCUCUCUCUUGUAUUUUCCUGGCAAUUCUACAGGACACCGGAGUAAAACCAUUCACGAAAUUGA